rnacentral:rRNA from 1 species
AGAGUUUGAUCCUGGCUCAGAAUCAACGCUGGCGGCGUGCCUAACACAUGCAAGUCGAGCGGUAACAGGUGUAGCAAUACAUGCUGACGAGCGGCGAACGGGUGAGUAAUGCUUUGGAAUCUUCCCAGUAGUGGGGAAUAACCAGUCGAAAGAUUGGCUAAUACCGCAUACGUCUGUAAAGGGAAAGCGGGGGCUCGUAAGACCUCGCGCUAUUGGAUGAGCCAAAGUCGGAUUAGCUAGUUGGUGGGGUAAUGGCCUACCAAGGCGACAAUCCGUAGCUGGUCUGAGAGGACGACCAGCCACACCGGAACUGAGACACGGUCCGGACUCCUACGGGAGGCAGCAGUGGGGAAUAUUGGACAAUGGGGGAAACCCUGAUCCAGCGACGCCGCGUGUGUGAAGAAGGCCUGCGGGUUGUAAAGCACUUUUAGUGGGGACAAAAAGCUACGGAUUAACACUCUGUGGUCUUGAUUUAACCCAAAGAAAAAGCACCGGCUAACUCUGUGCCAGCAGCCGCGGUAAU